rnacentral:rRNA from 1 species
UCCAAGUGUAGCGGUGAAAUGCGUAGAUAUUUGGAGGAACACCAGUGGCGAAGGCGGCAUACUAGAUCGAUACUGACGCUCAGUCACGAAAGCGUGGGGAGCAAAUAGGAUUAGAUACCCUAGUAGUCCACGCUGUAAACGUUGAGAACUAAGUGUCGGGGAGACCCGGUGCUGAAGCUAACGCAUUAAGUUCUCCGCCUGAGGAGUACGCACGCAAGUGUGAAACUUAAAGGAAUUGACGGGGGCCCGCACAAGCAGUGGAGCAUGUGGUUUAAUUCGAUGCUACGCGAAGAACCUUACCAGGACUUGACAUGCCGCUAAAGACCUUAGAAAUAAGGGGAUAGUUAUAGCGGACACAGGUGGUGCAUGGUUGUCGUCAGCUCGUGUCGUGAGAUGUUCGGUUAAGUCCGGCAACGAGCGCAACCCUUGUCCUUAGUUGCCAGCAUUAAGUUGGGGACUCUAAGGAGACCGCCGGUGUAAACCGGAGGAAGGUGGGGAUGACGUCAAAUCAUCAUGCCCUUUAUGUCCUGGGCGACACACGUGCUACAAUGGCCGUUACAAAGAGCAGCAAAACCGCGAGGUCAAGCAAAUCUCAUAAAGACGGUCUCAGUUCGGAUUGGAGUCUGCAACUCGACUCCAUGAAGUCGGAAUUGCUAGUAAUCGUAGAUCAGCCAUGCUACGGUGAAUACGUUCCCGGGCCUUGUACACACCGCCCGUCAAACCAUGAAAGCUGGUAAUACUCGAAGUCGGUAUCCUAACUUUGCAAAAAGAGGGAGCCGCCCAAGGUAGGAUCAGUAAUUGGGGUUAAGUCGUAACCAAGGUAACCCGAAAGGGCGAAUUCGUANCUCGC